GCCAGUUUGACGUAGUGGUUUAAGCAUUGGACUAUGACCCUGGAGAUCAGGGUUCAAUUCCCUGCUCAGCCA